AAUGGGUCAGCGACUUAUAUUCUGUAGCAAGGUUAACCGAAUAGGGGAGCCGAAGGGAAACCGAGUCUUAACUGGGCGUUAAGUUGCAGGGUAUAGACCCGAAACCCGGUGAUCUAGCCAUGGGCAGGUUGAAGGUUGGGUAACACUAACUGGAGGACCGAACCGACUAAUGUUGAAAAAUUAGCGGAUGACUUGUGGCUGGGGGUGAAAGGCCAAUCAAACCGGGAGAUAGCUGGUUCUCCCCGAAAGCUAUUUAGGUAGCGCCUCGUGAAUUCAUCUCCGGGGGUAGAGCACUGUUUCGGCAAGGGGGUCAUCCCGACUUACCAACCCGAUGCAAACUGCGAAUACCGGAGAAUGUUAUCACGGGAGACACACGGCGGGUGCUAACGUCCGUCGUGAAGAGGGAAACAACCCAGACCGCCAGCUAAGGUCCCAAAGUCAUGGUUAAGUGGGAAACGAUGUGGGAAGGCCCAGACAGCCAGGAUGUUGGCUUAGAAGCAGCCAUCAUUUAAAGAAAGCGUAAUAGCUCACUGGUCGAGUCGGCCUGCGCGGAAGAUGUAACGGGGCUAAACCAUGCACCGAAGCUGCGGCAGCGACACUAUGUGUUGUUGGGUAGGGGAGCGUUCUGUAAGCCUGUGAAGGUGUACUGUGAGGUAUGCUGGAGGUAUCAGAAGUGCGAAUGCUGACAUAAGUAACGAUAAAGCGGGUGAAAAGCCCGCUCGCCGGAAGACCAAGGGUUCCUGUCCAACGUUAAUCGGGGCAGGGUGAGUCGACCCCUAAGGCGAGGCCGAAAGGCGUAGUCGAUGGGAAACAGGUUAAUAUUCCUGUACUUGGUGUUACUGCGAAGGGGGGACGGAGAAGGCUAUGUUGGCCGGGCGACGGUUGUCCCGGUUUAAGCGUGUAGGCUGGUUUUCCAGGCAAAUCCGGAAAAUCAAGGCUGAGGCGUGAUGACGAGGCACUACGGUGCUGAAGCAACAAAUGCCCUGCUUCCAGGAAAAGCCUCUAAGCAUCAGGUAACAUCAAAUCGUACCCCAAACCGACACAGGUGGUCAGGUAGAGAAUACCAAGGCGCUUGAGAGAACUCGGGUGAAGGAACUAGGCAAAAUGGUGCCGUAACUUCGGGAGAAGGCACGCUGAUAUGUAGGUGAAGUCCCUCGCGGAUGGAGCUGAAAUCAGUCGAAGAUACCAGCUGGCUGCAACUGUUUAUUAAAAACACAGCACUGUGCAAACACGAAAGUGGACGUAUACGGUGUGACGCCUGCCCGGUGCCGGAAGGUUAAUUGAUGGGGUUAGCGCA
rnacentral:rRNA from 1 species